GGAUAGGUGUCCGAGUGGUCGAAGGAGCACGACUGGAAAUCGUGUGUACGGUCAAAAGCCGUACCGUGGGUUCGAAUCCCACCCUAUCCGCCA
rnacentral:tRNA from 1 species